AUAAUAUUACAUUAUUAUUAUCUGGCAUUAUUCAGAGUUUUGACCUGUGUUGGAGGUUAACGUUUAAAUUAAACCUUUAUUUCUGUGAUUUAUUUUAAUAUUUUUUUUUACUAUUUAUCUGUAACUUAACAAAACCGGUAAAGUCUGUAAAACAACUUUUUUCCUCAAUCCUUAAUAUACAUAAUUUUUCCAACAAUAUGCAAAAUAGACGUUUUUUUUCUGAUUCCAAUACAGUAACAACAACAAUAGUGUAAUUAUAGUUUUGUAAAAGAACAAAUGCAUUAUUUAUUACCUAAUCUUACUAUUAUUCCAUUACUAUUGUAUGACAUUAUUCAAAGUUUUGGUCUGUUUGGGGGGAUUAGCAUGUAAAUUAAACCCUUUUUUCUGUGGUUUUGCUAGUUAGUAUAUGUAAUUUAACAAAACAGGGGGAAAUUGUAAAGUAACAGUUUAAAAUUUUUAGCUUUUCUCAAUCUUUAAUAGACUAUACUUUUUUUUAAAAUCUGCAUGUUGCAGUUUUUUAAAUACAAAAAUACAAUAAUAAGCUGGUAAAGGAACAAAUGUAUUAUUACAUUAUCAUAGUGUUGUUACAUUAAUAUUGUAUGACAUUACUCAGAGUUUUGACCUGUUUUGAGGGUUAAUGUCUAAAUUAAACCUUUUUUCUUGAUUUUUACUAAUUAUCCGUAAUUUAACAAAACAGGGGAAAACUGUAAAACACCGUAAAUUGUUCAAAAGAUACUCCUAAACACAGGUCACAUUUACAGGGCACAUGUUUGGACUAAACAUCUGUUUAAUUAUCUGAUUAAUAAACGUAUUCAUAGAAAAUAACCCUGAACCAGCUUCCCGCUCUGCCUCAGAGGAUGAAUGGACGCUGAUGCUCCUCAUUUUGCUCCUCAGGAAGCGGGAUGACGACAUCCUGCCCUUAGCAACGGUGGCGUCUCUACGGCAACAUCCUCCUGCUGUUGUCACAGAGACGCCGACAGGAAUCAGCGCGUGAUUCGGGAUGAACUCAUGAUUUCGGAGGAUGCGCGCGUGUCGUUGUCAUGGGUGGAAUCCGCGCGACCGCCGCGGCAGCUGUCGGUGUCUCGCGACUUGAGUGUCUGAAGUUGGAGCGGCAACUUGUGCACGAGGCCCUCUGCUCUUCAUCCUCGUCACCAUCCUCAUCCUCAGCAGUCCUGCAGGAGCCUCCAGCAGGCAGCCCGGUUCGGUUCGGUUCGGCUCGGCUUCAGUCAGGACCAGCCGGGUCCGAUCCAGCGGUGCGCGCGCCCGCAUGGAUCCCGCCGUGCUCAUCUUCCUGCUCUACGUCAUGAUCGCGCACGAGCUGGUGUGCGGCUGGAUGCAGUACCGCAGACAGAGCGCCAAACCCAGGAAACGAGCCGCAGGACCGCUGCUGCGCACCAGCGCCCGGGUGUGUCAGGGAGCCUGGAGGACGAGCAGCCAGUCAGUCCGGUCCAGCCAAGGAGGCCGAGACCUGAGGAAGUAUGGACGCAUCGUGAGAAAAGCCUGAUGAACCGAGACAACAGACAUAUAUGGACACAUUAAAGAAUUCUGGGUGUGAACCGGUGGACAAGCCUGAUCCGGUUCAUCCUCACCCUUCACUUAACUGCACAUCUGGGCAUUUGAACCAUUUACUACUGUGGCUGUUUCUGUCUUUGACAUCUUUACUGGAGGGGAAUUCUGUCAAAGAUGCCAAAUUGCUCAAAGAAUGAUAGAAAAAAGGUCCAAAAAUGCAGCAUUACAAGUCAAACUCGUGACCUACAUAACCAACACCUGAGUCUCUUUUCUACUCUUUACUUUCUUUACGCAGACGUUGCUUCAAGCGUAUUAUUUUGUUGGUUUAGUUCUUUUGCUUUUUAAAGCCAGCAGCAUCGGUUAUUCUCGGUAUUUGUCUUCUUAUUUGUCUAAUACUGACCAUGUAGAUACCAUCUUCUGUGUUUGCCUGAGGUCAGGGAACUUUGACUUGUGUCUCCUUGUACUGUCAAAAAUCAAAUAAAGACCAAAAUAGUACACAAAAAUAACCUCUAAUGGUGAAGUCAAGUAACUUUCAAGGGAUGGUGCAGAUUUUUAUCAGCUAAAAACUACUAAUACGGUAAUUCUUUGUAGGACCAACCAUAGUUUGGUACCAGACGUCUGUACAGCUGCCGAUUAAAAUACUGUUUAAACUAAAUGAAGGCUGGAAGACGACUGAGCGAGUCAGAGCUCUGCAGAUGAGAUUAAGAAUCUUUCUUGGAUUUACAGCCAGAAUAUAUUACAUCUCAGAACUGCUUCUGCAAGAUAUUUUCUUUGAUUGAUUGACUGAUUGAUUAAUUGCUUAUACCGACCAAGUAAUGAAGAGAAUGUCAUUUCUUUCUCACUGUUAGGUGGGUUAUACAAGACAAAAUGCCUGGAGUCAUACAAGCAGCUCUAUGUGUAGGAUGGAUACUUAGAUUUUAACGGCAGAUAUAAUGUCACUUAAAUGUCAAAUGGUUCAAACUGAAUCACCUCUCAAUAGUUGCAUUAAUUAAAUUAAUUAGAAAUAGAAGCCUCAGAGUAGAAGCUCAAUCUAACAAAACUGAGUAAAUGUGUGAUUUCUAAUUAUAAACUUGGUUAUAAAAUGACUUUGAACACCAGAACCCUCUCCGUUUUGGACCAGUGAAUUGUGUCUACCUGCAUGUCCACAACCUGGCUGCACAUGAAAAACAAACAAAACUGAAAAAUCUGACUGUGACACUUCACAGAGAUGAAAAAUGAUACAGAGAGAUCGAUGACCAAAUAAAAAUCAGUUGAAACAGCUGAAACAGUGAUCAGCAUAUACUAGAUAAAUGCAGAAUGAGCCAUGGUGCACUAAUCAGGGCUGCAGAGGUUGUACUAAAAUACCUACAUGUCUGCAUCAUGGCUUCAUGUGGAAAUUAAUUACCAGAGGAAGCUAAAUAUCUGAUUGUAAGACUUCAAAAAGAUCUAUGAUGGACUAAAAAUCUGUUAUGCAGCAGUAAUCAGGAGGUACAGAAUUAGCCGUAGUGCCACUAAUCAGGGCUACGGUGACCGUCCUAAAAUGACACCAUGGAUAACAGACAGCUGCCUGCAUUGAUCUGAAAAACAAAUUAGUGAAUGCUUCGACUUGGCUCAGGGCUUAUCAAUGGAAAUCAGAGUUUCUGUGGCGGCUCAGACACUGUGAAGGACGUUAUAUAAUGACAACCUCUAUAAAAGCUGUCCAAUAAUAGAACCCUUCCUUUCACUUUAGCAGGAAACUGCAGGUUGAAACUUCUGUAAAGAGCAUUAAUAGAAGCCUGAACACAUUCUUUGGCCAGAUGACAUCAAGAUAAAUUGCUUCGGCUCUAUGUGCACUCAUGCAGCUACGAGGCUGAGUGAGUUCAAAAGGUGUUUCCAGCAGAGAGCAGCUGAAAAUAAAUAGUCCUUGAAGAAAGAAAGAACAUAGAGAACAGAGAUUUGGUGUCCUCACUGUCAAUGAGGAUUGAUUCUGUCAUUGAAAAUAAAGGUCGACAUAUGAGAUACAGAUAAAAAUAAAAGAUAUGAAUCUAUUUGUGAAAGGUGGGCUGAAUUUGUUGCUACAGUGGAGCCUGUAUUUUUUAAUAUAGUGAAUCUAAAUGUUUUUAAUUUGACAUAACGACAAAUAACCAACAGUUCAACUUACAUUGACUAAUGCAGCUACUGUAGUAUGAUGCAAUUUUGAAUCAUUGAACAUUUACAGUGCCUUUAAAGAGUAUUCACCUCCCUUGAAAGAUUACCAAUAGUAUUGUUUUUCAGUAAUAAAUCAUGUCAAAGUUACUAUGUUUUUUCUUGACAAGAAUUUACCAAAAAAAGACCCUUCCAUGUCAAAGUGAAAACAGAUUUUUACAAAAAAAAUGGCCAUUAAUUUAAGUAUGUAUUAUCUAAAAUAUGUUUUUACAUAAGAUUUCAGUAUUUAUUUGGGGAUUUUGGAGAAACCGCUUUUUACUUUGACAUGAAAGAGUCUUUUUUGGUAACUCCUUGUCCAGAAACCCAAAUUAAAUUGAUCAUAAUUUUAGUGUUGAAAAGCAAUAAAGGGUAAAAUCUCCAACCAGGUGAUUUUUUAAAAACAUUUUAUGAUUAAGUGAUAUAGUUAUAAUAUGUUUUCUACAGUAUUUGGUCACAAACCAAAGCAUUGGACAACAUAAAAGAUUGCAAAGUCAUCUAGAUACGCUGUGAGAAGUCAAAUAGCAACGUGAUCGCCCAACCUGUCAACUGUCAGGGUUUCACUGAAUCAUAAUUGUGAGGUAGAUGUAAAUAUCUCAGACACACCCAGUGUUCUUGUGCGCGCUAAUUGUGUUUCACUAAAGGUCAAAAUGACAGCUUUGUUUGCGUUGCUAACGAUGAAUGUCUGUCUGAAUGUCUUACCGACAGCAACAGUAGAUUUAAUUACUGUUACACAAUUAAACACAACAAACCUUAACUGUAAUUUUAAAUUGUUCUGGCACAGAUGGAAUUCUCUCCAUAGCGUUGAGGUUGAUGCAGAAGUUUCAGAGCUGAACACGUUAAUUCUGUAGAUUGUUUUUUGUUUAGUUUGUUUUGAAGAUUAACCUGAGCUCAUCAUACUUUUUAAAUGAAUGUGUUGGUUCAGUGUAAAUUCAUCAGUUUCUUCUCCACUUUCUCGCUGUUUGCUUAGAUGGCAGAUAAUCCUGAACAUAUCUGGCAUGUUGCAUGACAAGGGAAACCAAAACGUGCAGAAGAAUGUUGUGCAUCAAGUCUGCUGCUCGCUGCUCGCCAAAAGCACUGACGAAGGCCAAAAUCAGCACAAACGAUCCAUAGUUAGAGCCCGUCUUUUAAAGGGAGGAACCUGAGGGUGUUGCCUGUCCUUUCGGGUAGUUCAACAACACAUCAGAUGCCUUCUGACCUGAUCGCCUGGUUUGAUCCAUUUUGUUUUGUAGCCCAAUAAUGUUCCUAGCUUAUAUAAUACACAUUUAAUGAUGCACACCCACUUACUGAAAGAACAAACGGAGGUUGGUAUUCCAAACUGGAGGCCAAAUUUAGCUUUAACUUGUAAUUCUGGGCUGCUGCUUGUCAAAUUUUAAUAUCUACAGCUUCAAAGACGCUGCAGUAAAUGUUGUAAAACACCCUUUUAUUCACAAAGUUCAACAGGUGGUUGUGGUUGAUUGUUGUAGAAGAGUGGUAGAAACUGUGAACCUUGUGGGUUCAUUAAACUUAGUCUUAAAACUCCUUCAUCUCCAAAAACACAAAAUACCUAAAACAAGAAGCAAUUUGGAGAAUCUAUACCACUCCAUACUCCCAAAUGAAAGUCCUUAUCUUUUGUAUGGAUAAAACAUCUUGAGGUCUUUUCUUAAUUGUCGUCUUUUACCUUCUGGAGAGUGUUCUUGAUCUGGCCUACUGUUGUGAAGGGGUUUUUCUUGACCAGGGAAAGGAUUCUUCUGUCAUCCACACACUGGUUUUCUUGGUCUUUGGGGUCUUUUGGUGUAGCUGAACUCACCAGUGCGUUCUUUCUUUUUAAGAAUGUACCAAACAGUGGAUCAGGGCACACCUAAUGUUUCUGCUAUCUCUCUGAUGGGUUUGUUUGGAUUUUUCAGCCAAAUGACGGCUUGCUUCACAGCUCUUUGGACUUCAUAUUGAGCGCUGACCGCACCGGAUUCCACACUUGAGAUGAACUUUCGACCGUUUAUCUGCUCCUUGGAGAUGAAAUAAUGAGGGAAUAACACACAUCUGGCCAUGGAACAGCUGAGAAGCCAAUUGUCCAGUUACUUUUGGCCCUCUGAAAAGAUCCAUUGUGGCGGUGUACAGAGCAGAAACCCUGUAGCAGAUUACCAUUUUGAUGUCAGGGUCUUGGAAGCGAUCUCAACUACUUUUGACCGCAUUCCAAACUGUAUUUAAGAGGUCAUCACACAUGACAGUUGUCCUUGGCAUCUUGACAGAUUUUCAUUCCUGCAGUACCAACGUGAGCAAUGCAGCUAUUUCCUUAUGACAAUGGAACACAUGACGGGAGCCUUCAGGAACUCCUGCAGGUUAAACAGGGUUAACCAACCGCUUUAACAGCUGAACGAAUGGAACAUUAGACAGAUCUGAAACCAUUAAACAAACCAUAACUCGGCACUCCCUGAAAACGUGUUUUUCUGCAGUGGUUGUUGAAUUUCCACCUGCCUGCCUGAUCUCAGAACAGCUAAUAGGACACAAACUGAACAUCGCAGCAGCUUCCAGGUUUUAAUUGUGUUCAGUGAACAGCAGGACUCAAAGCUCAGCAAACAGCAGAUAGUUUUGUUCUAAUUUCUCAUGGGGAUUGAUGGUAGCAUCAGCUCUGCCUGUGCAGCGAUCUGAUUAACUUAUUGGUUUUCUUUGUUUUAAUAUACACACUGAAACUACAUAUAUUUUUGAACAAUUUACUGUUAUUUUAGAGAUUUAGCCUGUUUUGUUAAAUUACAGAUAAUAACUAGCUAAUAACUAGCAUAAAAGAAAUAUUAAUUUAUGUGUGUUUAACCCCAAAAAAUAUGCUAUUUACUACAUUUAAAUCAGCAAGAAGGUUAUUUUUCAGCAUUUGAAAGACAAAUUCUGUAUAUUAUAGAUUCAUAAUUGGGGAAAAAAGUGUCAUUUCACUAUUUUUACCCGUUUUGUUAGAUUAUAGAUAACAUCUA